UACGUAGGGUCCGAGCGUUGUCCGGAAUUACUGGGCGUAAAGAGCUCGUAGGUGGCCAACUAAGUCAGACGUGAAAUCCCUCGGCUUAACCGGGGAACUGCAUCUGAUACUGGAUGGCUUGAGUUCGGGAGAGGGAUGCGGAAUUCCAGGUGUAGCGGUGAAAUGCGUAGAUAUCUGGAGGAACACCGGUGGCGAAGGCGGCAUCCUGGACCGACACCUGACGCUGAGGAGCGAAAGCCAGGGGAGCAAACAGG
rnacentral:rRNA from 1 species